CGCGUAGGCGGCUUGGUCAGUCAGGCGUGAAAUCCCCGCGCUUAACGUGGGCAUUGCAUUUGAAACUAUGUAGCUAGAGUUCUGUAGAGGGGGGUAGAAUUCCAGGUGUAGCGGUGAAAUGCGUAGAGAUCUGGAGGAAUACCGAUUGCGAAGGCAGCCCCCUGGACAGUGACUGACGCUCAUAUGCGAAAGCGUGGGGAUCAAACAGGAUUAGAUACCCGGGU
rnacentral:rRNA from 1 species